UUGCAGGAAAAGGCUCAAGUGUACUCCGUUAACAAAAGUAAACGAGCGCUGGUGGUGGGGACAUUCAUACAUAUAAGCAGACAGAGCAGCAGUCCCCCAGGAAUGCUCUUUUCUACAAGAGGUGACCCUUCAAUGCUUUUAGCAUUGCCACCAGCAGCUGGAAGUGUACAGAGUUCAGGAACUAGCUGUGUAACCAGUCACCUUGUGAAUAUAGAGGCAGCACCACAGGAAUUCUAUUUCUGAAGAAAACUGGACUGAAGACGACAGACUUCACGUUGCUGUUGGGACUUCAAAGCUUUACAAACUGUCGUCAAGUCGCGCGUCAAGGGAACGGACACUGAAGUUGGACUCACGCUUUUGUCCUCCUCUGGCUCCCGAGUCCCUGGUGUCUGUCUCUGCUCAGACAAGUCACCUGGCCCCAGCCCACCCAACAAGCAUCUGGCGAGCGGCUCCUGAUGCCGCGCGCUGCUCUGCCACUGAAUCACCGCCUUGACUGAAAUCCAAGGGCCCCACUUCGCGCUCCCUCCGGGGCGUGCAUGCGUGUGCGUGCAAGCACACCGCAGGCAACCCGGGCAUCAGCCCUGUCUGCAGAUAGCAAAUGUAAAUCACCAGCGGUGUUGCACAACCACUGUGUUAUGCCCGUGCAAAUCGGUCGGUCGGCUCACCUGCGUGAGCGCUUGCUCCCGUGCCUCUGCCCUGCAGAUCACGAUGCACCUGG